rnacentral:rRNA from 1 species
GAUGAACGCUAGCGGCAGGCCUAAUACAUGCAAGCUGAACGGUAAAUAUUGUAGCAAUACGAUAUGAGAGUAGCGUAAGGGUGCGUAACACGUAUGCAAUCUGCCCUGUACAGGAGGAUAGCUCGGCGAAAGCCGGAUUAAUACUCCGUAAGAUUAUGGAGUGGCAUCACUUGAUAAUUAAAGUCGCAAGACGGUAUGGGAUGAGCAUGCGUCUGAUUAGCUAGUUGGUAGUGUAACGGACUACCAAGGCGAUGAUCAGUAGGGGAACUGAGAGGUUGAUCCCCCACACUGGCACUGAGAUACGGGCCAGACUCCUACGGGAGGCAGCAGUAGGGAAUAUUGGUCAAUGGAUGCAAGUCUGAAACAGCCAUGCCGCGUGCAGGAAGAAGGCCUUCUGGGUUGUAAACUGCUUUUGCCGGGGGAUAAAAAGCUCAUGCGUGAGCAAUUGAAGGUACCCGGUGAAUAAGCCAC